UACAGAGGUCUCAAGCGUUGUUCGGAUUCAUUGGGCGUAAAGGGCGCGUAGGCGGCUCGCUAAGUCAGGUGUGAAAUUUCGGAGCUUAACUCCGAAACUGCAUUUGAUACUGGCGUGCUUGAGGACUGGAGAGGAGACUGGAAUUUACGGUGUAGCGGUGAAAUGCGUAGAUAUCGUAAGGAAGACCAGUGGCGAAGGCGGGUCUCUGGGCCGAUACUGACGCUGAGGAGCGAAAGCGUGGGGAGCAAACAGG
rnacentral:rRNA from 1 species